UCCUAAACUGCUUCAGCAGGCUCUUACAAAAGCUGGCAGAAAGGCCUCCUAACUCCUUUCUUAGUCAUCGAUGGGCCUCAGCUCCAUCUUCUGGAACCUUCUGUGGCUGCCCAUCAUCAUGGGAUGAUGCAAACCCCUUAACAUGGCAUCCAGGGUCCUUUAUAAGCUGACUUGUCGCACCUCCCCGACCCAUCUUCCUCCACUCACUCUGCUGUCCACGCUCCAGCGAGAGAAAUGCCCGCAGCUCCCUCCUGGCGCCGGGACUCCUGCUUCAGAGCCCCACACCCAGGCCUUCUGCCAGCAGUGUUCUUCCUCCUUCAGGCUCACAGGCAAGGUGGGACUCGGAUUUCUCACUCAGCAGCGGUGGUCCUGCCUCCUCUUCUGUGCUCCCACUGCACGCUCUAUGUAGCUCAGGACACGUUGUUUUUAGUGAGUCCUACCUGAGUCUCUGGCUGAAAAGAGUUCUGUCGGGGCAGGGACCUUACCUGCUCCAAGGCCAGAGAGGACCUGCUAAACGGGGCCAAACAGAAUCACAGAUGAGCGGGAAAGAGCCAGGCAUGGGGUCAGAAAGACUAAAUUUACGUUUCGGUUCACUUACUCUGCCUGUGCUGGGUACUCCUCCGAGCGUCCUUUUUCUCACCAGUAGACCCGUGAUAUCCUCUGCAGCUGCUUUCUGUGACCUGCUUACUCUGUGGCAGGCCCCUGAUAUGCUUUGUCCCAACCAAUUCUCACAGUGCUUCUGAGUUACACACCGGUGUCCUGCUUCACAGUUGAGAAGGUGAGAAGCACAGAGAGGUCAAAUAGUUUACCUGAGAUCACACAGCCAACAAGUGGCAGGGCCAGAGCUUGCAAUUGGGUCUGACCACACAGCCUGAGUUUCUAACUACCGCGGUCUGCUGAGAACGGGAGGGGAUGAGACAGAUCAAAAGUCCUUUACUAUCCCCAGCUCUUGUUUUGGGAUCUUGGGUGACUCGUAUUUAAUCAUGUGUGGUAGGCAGCAGGUGGCAGUGGAAAUUACAAGAUGACUCCUGAGUGGUCUCAGCCCCAGCAGGGGCUUUUAUCUGUGGCGUGAGCGUGGGAAGUCAUUUUCUGACAAUGGCUGGACUGAAACAUCCGAAACACAGGCCUUGUGCCAGUGCUGAAAAGGGUACUUUCCAGAACCGACAGACCUUAGCCCGUGUCUUGGCUCCCGAUGGAGGAACUCUGGGCCCGGUCACUGCUGUCGCCCUGGAACCACAACUUUUCCCCUCUGUGCGUUGGAAUCUUGGUGCUGAUCAGAGAGCUGUGCCACACACUCUGUAAAGCGUGGUGGGGCGCCAAGACCGCUGCCUCUACAGGUCACAGGCGUGGCUCUGGGUCCAAACCUUGGCCCUGCUGUGGAUCCCCGUGUGACCUUUGACAAGGCACACUUUCUCUCCUACAUAAACUGGGAAUUGAAACCACUCAGAGGGUAACUUGAGGAUUAAAGAGCAGACGUCAUGUAGCAUCUGGCACAUGGGGGAGCGCAGUGGAAGUCCUCUUUCUUCUGGGCCACCUCAGCUCAGGCGUCGUCACGAGGCUUUGUGGCUCCUUUCUUAUGGUAUCCCCACUUUGCUUUUUUCCCCUUCAGCAAGAGAAUUAAAGGACAUUGACCAAAUUCCUUUGUGGAGAAUCCCAGGAACACCCUGUCUCCAACCCCCAACCCCAUCCUCAUUUUCUACCCUGAUCCCUUUCUCCCUUGCCAGAGAAUAUUUCACAUGCAUGUAGCGAAAACACCAGGGGUCUUGAGAGGUCAUAGCCUGAAAAGGAAGUAGAGAGAGAAGCAGAGGAAGUGACACUUAACGUGAAUGACCGUUUUUCAUGGACUCUGCUUCCCCAUUUCUUGAGACCCUGAUGAUUUCUGCUUUUUCUCCCAAAGUCUUCUCAAGUCUUAGGAUUGCAGCAACACGCUCGGCUGCCCAAACCCAAGGCGAAGACCUUGCCAGAGUUCAUCAAGGAUGGCUCCAGUAUGUACAGCAAGGUUCCUGCCCACAGGAAGGGCCACAGGCCCGCUAAGCCCCAAAGGCAGGAUCUAGAUGAUGAUGAACAUGAUUAUGAAGAAAUACUUGAGCAAUUUCAGAAAACCAUCUAAGUGCUGGAGGAACCACGCUUCCUAACUGCUGCUUCUCAGGGAAUCCGAUGCCAGCCAACCAUUUUAAGCCUCUAAAAGACCUCGGGAAAGUCUCACAGAAACUGAGCUGCAGACAGGGAGUAGCUUUGUGGAAACUGAUUUGAUGGACACUGCACCAGCUUCCUUCAGGUUCUAGAUUCUUGCUACUUAGGGCGGGCUGGUUUGGACCUAACAUCUCGCACGUGACUCCCUCAGCCUCAGAGCCUUGGGAUGCAGAGCAGCUGGCAGGGUUCCUCUCAAUCCUGCAACCCCAGCUGUCCCACCGGUGGAUGCAGAGGGGAAUCCGAGGCCAUCAACCUUGGUGAUAGCAGCGCAGUGCCAAUGCCUCUCAGUAAAAGGGAUUCCAUCCUGAUCACACUGCAUGGGAGAUUUUGUUAACGUCUGCCACCCCUACUCUCACCCCCAAGCUCUAAGCCCCCGGGAGGCCUGGACUGUCUUCCUUAUCUCUGUAGCACCUAGCCUGAUAGAUCUGUAUAUGGUAAACAGGGGUUUAACCACAUGUGGUUAACAUGGAUUAAUGUGGGAACUUGGCUUCAAGAACACAACCUUAGGACCUUGGGCCCCAAAAGCUGGUGGUGAAAUGGGAGGAGCCAAUUUAAGAAGACCCUUAUGGAGACCUGAGGCUGCAGAAAACUGGUAGGUUUCAUCAGGUGGUUAAAGUCGUCAAAGUUGUAAGUGACUAACCAAGAUUAUUUCAUUUUAAAACCAUAGAAUAAAAAUGACACCUGAGCUUCUC
rnacentral:sRNA from 1 species